AUCAUGCUAUCCCUUUGGAUUCCUCCUUUAGUGGCUUCUACUAUGAACAAUCAACAUUAACUUCAAUUAUAGAAGAGUCGCAUCAUAUUCAUAAAUUAUAUGAAAAAAUUUUAAAUCUCAAGAAAGAGUCGAAGAACAUCAUCAUCUGUGAUAAAUUAUCUUCAAGUAGUACUGUUUAUGAGCAAAGAAAUGAAGGGAAGAAAAAAAAGUGGUUUCUUUUAAAAGCAACAGUUUGCAUAUUCUCACUCUUAAAAGUCCCAAGUUGA